CAGCCGACACCUUCUUGUGACUCCCUCCUCUCUGCAUCUUGAUCUAAUAAAAACCCUAAUCUCCUACACAUAACACCCAACACCUCUCGGUCUCUCACUCAAAAUUUCCGGCGGCCGGAGCUGGGUUACCGGCGGCGACAAUCUCCUGCGACCACAGACGCCCAAACACCCCCUUCUACCCUUCAUCUCCGGCGAACCAUCGCACCUCCACAGCCCUCAUCUCUGCUGAACGAGCUGCCGGCCACCGUUAGUGGUGGCGGCGCACGGUGAGUGAGAGAGAGAGAGAGAGAGAGCCGCGAGAGAGAGAGAGCCGCAAGAGAGAGAGAGACGCAGAAAGAGAGAGAGACGGUGGACGACGGCGAUGCACGGCGACGACCCGGGGAGAACAGCGACGGCGGCGGUGCUCCGGUCAGUUUGUCCUCAGUUCAGUUCCAAGUUCGAGUUGCAAGUUUAAUUUGGUUCAACUUCUGGUCUCAGGUUCGAGUUUCAGUCUCGUUCAAGUCUCGGUUCAGACUCGAGACUCUGUUCAAUUGGUGUGACUCUGGUUCAGCCGCGGUCCAAAUUUCGGUUCGUCUCAGGUCAGUUGAUCUCGGCUCAGAUUCUAGUGUUCGGUUCACACGGAUUCGGGUUCGGUUCAAGAGACGUGAUGGGUCAGAUUGUAGCUUGGGUUACGGCUUGAUGCUCGGGCUUCGGUUCGGUCAGACGUGGUCAAAGCCAGUCAAACCCGGUAAACUGUCGGGUCAUUGGGUUAAGCUC